CAAGUCGAACGAGAAAGUGGAGCAAUCCAUGAGUAAAGUGGCGCACGGGUGAGUAACACGUGACUAACCUACCCAGGAGUGGGGGAUAACUGAGGGAAACCUUAGCUAAUACCGCAUAACACCUACGGGUCAAAGGAGCAAUUCGCUUCUGGAGGGGGUCGCGGCCGAUUAGUUAGUUGGCAGGGUAAUGGCCUACCAAGACGAUGAUCGGUAUCCGGCCUGAGAGGGCGCACGGACACACUGGAACUGAAACACGGUCCAGACUCCUACGGGAGGCAGCAGUGGGGAAUUUUGCGCAAUGGGGGAAACCCUGACGCAGCAACGCCGCGUGGAGGAUGAAGUCCUUCGGGACGUAAACUCCUUUCGAUCGGGACGAUUAUGACGGUACCGGAAGAAGAAGCCCCGGCUAACUUCGUGCCAGCAGCCGCGGUAAUACGAGGGGGGCGAGCGUUGUUCGGAAUUAUUGGGCGUAAAGGGUGCGUAGGCGGUUUGGUAAGUCUGAUGUGAAAUCUAUGGGCUCAACUCAUAGUCUGCAUCGGAAACUGGCGGGCUUGAGUGUGGGAGAGGUGAGUGGAAUUCCUGGUGUAGCGGUGAAAUGCGUAGAUAUCAGGAGGAACACCUGUGGCGAAAGCGGCUCACUGGACCAUAACUGACGCUGAUGCACGAAAGCUAGGGGAGCAAACAGGAUUAAAUACCCUGGUAGUCCUAGCCCUAAACGAUGACUGCUUGGUGUGACGGGUACCCAAUCCCGCCGUGCCGUAGCUAACGCGUUAAGCAGUCCGCCUGGGGAGUACGGUCGCAAGGCUGAAACUCAAAGGAAUUGACGGGGG
rnacentral:rRNA from 1 species